GCCAAAACGAAAUUAAUAGUCCUUCUGGCCAAAAUUCCCCUUUGGACUAAAAACUUCCUUUCGUUAUCUGUCUUCAAGAAUAUUCCUAAUAUCCUACAUCCUAGUGAUGCCAGAUGCACCUUUGCCGACAAGUGGUUUGUUUUGUGUCGGAUUGUUGAUAAGGGGAGGUCCCAUAACCGGCAGUUUAUGUGUGCGUGGAAAUAUGCCGGGUGAUUUAAAGUAGAUGUACUUAAUUUUUUUAUAAUUAAAAUAAAAAAACUGUGUUAAUCAUGGAUUUCGACUUAGUUUUGGAUUAUAUUGGUCAUUAUGGAAAAUUCCAAUGUUGCGUGAUGAUUCUCGCUGGCGUUGCUCAAAUAUUUGGAGGAAUGCAAAUGCAUUCAAGCAUCUUUUUAACUCCCAUGGACCAUCCGAAAAUAAAUUUUCAAAGAUGUUUUAUUCCUAAUUGUGAUAAUGGAACAACACAGUAUGAGGAGAGAUUUGUACAUUUUGCAGUGCCAAAUAUUACUGAUGAAUUUGGGAAUUCUGCUCCUAGUCCAUGUAUGCAUUAUGAAGCAAUUAAAGGUCAAGACUAUUGUGGUUAUGAGGCAUUUAACAGAAACAAAACUGUCUCCUGUCAGUCUUAUGUAUGGGAACAUACAGAAUUUCAAGAAACUGCCAUUUCUGAAUUUAGUAUAGUGUGCAAGAAAAGUUGGAAUGGAGCAAUGUCGAAUUCCAUAUUUAUGGUUGGAGUAUUGUUUGGAUCUGCUGGAUUUGGAGCAAUUGCUGACAAAUAUGGACGGAAAAAUGUCAUGAUGUCAGCUUCUUUAAUAAUGUUAGUUUCAUCAGUUGGCACAUCCUUUGCUCCAAGCUUUAAUGUAUUCUCAUUAUUACGCUUCAUCACUGCAGCUGCAGUAAGUGGACUUUUUCAAACUGGAUAUAUAUUAGCUGUAGAAUUCAUCGGAACUUCCAAGAGACUUAUAUGUGCUAACAUUAUGCAAAUAGUUUUUGCUGUUGGUGAAUUAAUUUUGGGAUUUAUUGCUUAUUUUGUAAGAAAGUGGAGAGUCUUAGAAUUGAUUAUAUCAGUACCAUCUGCUAUUCUAAUUGUAUAUUAUUGGUUUUUGCCAGAAUCUGUUAGGUGGUUAAUUUCUAAAGGCAAACACAAUAAGGCAAAGCAGACUAUAUUAAAAGCUGCUAGGUGGAACAAUGUUGCUGUACCUGAACAUCUGCUUAGAGCAUCUGAAUAUAGUAAUGCGGAUCCUGAAAUUGAUGAGCGACAACAGUCAAAUUCACCUAUGAACUUAGUGCGUACAUCUCAGAUGAGAAAAUGGACAAUGAAUAUUUCUUUUAAUUGGGUUGUAAAUGCUAUGGUUUAUUAUGGCUUAUCAUUGAGUGCUGGAAAAUUAAGUAAAAAUACUUAUGCCAAUUUUGCAAUAUUAGCUGCAGUGGAAAUCCCAGCUGUAUUUCUGGCUACUUGGGCUUUAUAUUAUUGUGGUAGGAGAAAUGUUUUAUGUUCUGUAAUGGUAUUUGGAGGCCUUGCUUGUGGGUCAACUGUCUUUGUUCCUCAAGCUUUAUCUUGGGUUGCAGUGAUGCUUGCAGUUAUAGGGAAGAGUGCCAUAGCUGCAUCUUUUGCCAUCAUUUACAUAUAUUCUGCAGAGAUUUAUCCUACUGUCCUGAGGAGCACAGGAAUAGGUUUUAGUAGCAUGUGUGGAAGACUUGGAGGUAUAAUAGCUCCAUUCAUCAAUGAAUUGAGGAAAGUCUAUAAUCCUUUGCCAAUGAUAAUAUUUGCUGUAGCAGCAAUUAUAUCUGGAUUACUGGCAUUGACAUUACCUGAAACCCACAACAGGCAGUUGCCUGAAUCUGUAGAAGAAGCAGAAGCCUUGGCUUCACCCAGAGGUGCUGGAUUUGAGAGACUAAUAUCCAGAGCGCGAAAUUUACCUAGAAUAGGUAGUACAUCGCCAAGAUCAUUAAGACGGGAUGUAGAAGAAAGGAGACGUCUGAUAAAUGCAUAAUUAUUGUGAACUACUUUAAAUUAUGUCAUUCAUCAUAAGCAUCUAAUAACACAAUUAAAUGUGUGACAUCGGUGGCACGUGCCGCCCGAUAAGACUGACUUUGCGGGCCACCGGUGGUACGUGCCGCCCGAUGAGACAGGCUAGUGUGGGCCACUGGUAUCCCAUGCCGACAUGAACGUGUUAAUUCAGCAUCAAUCUACAGUUACUUUUUUAUUUAACUUUACAUUGUACAUUGGCAUUUGAACAAGUAUUUUACCCUCUCGAUGAACUUCAUCACAUUUGAACUUUUUUACUUUCUUUUGUGAAGUAUAGUAAUCAUGGAAAAUUUAGAUAUCAUCUUUGAAUGAAAAUAUUCAUUUUGACCAUUUUCAAAUCCAUUUGGAUGAGUUUUGUGUAUGAUGUCUGUACGUAUGGACAGAAUAAAGGACUCUUUGUUUCAAAAAUAGCUUGUAAAAGGAUUCAAAAGGGUUUUAUUUUGACAUCUCUGCAUAUGUACAUAUGUAUAUCUCAUAUAAUUUAUAAACGAUUAGCCAUAGAACAUUCAAAUUUUGUAUAUGGGACUGCUAUAACAUUUAGUUGUGCAACUCCUCUUUUUAUUGCAAUCAGCAUACCA
rnacentral:misc_RNA from 1 species